rnacentral:rRNA from 1 species
CAGUAGCCGCGGUAAUACGUAGGUCCCGAGCGUUGUCCGGAUUUACUGGGUGUAAAGGGAGCGUAGACGGAAUGGCAAGUCUGAAGUGAAAUGCCCGGGCUCAACCCGGGAACUGCUUUGGAAACUGUCGAUCUGGAGUGUUGGAGAGGUAAGUGGAAUUCCUGGUGUAGCGGUGAAAUGCGUAGAGAUCAGGAAGAACACCGGAGGCGAAGGCGGCUUACUGGACAAAGACUGACGUUGAGGCUCGAAAGCGUGGGAAGCAAACAGGAUUAGAUACCCCAGUAGUCCCUGUCUCUUAUAC